rnacentral:ncRNA from 1 species
GGGAGCCGUAUGACGGGAGACUGUCACGUACGGUUCUGCAAGAGCCGGGGGUGCGAUUCCCGCCUGUCGGAUAGACGUCGGUAUGUGACCGGCUCUUCCGGCGAAGACUUGAU